AGAGUCCAGGUUGGCGGGUCCUGGGGCGGAGUCAGGAUAGGGCGAUCCUGGAAGCUGGGCUUCAGAAGCGUCCAGAUAGGGUCUCUCUCUCUGCCACCCAGGCCAGAGUGCAGUUGACGCAGGGCAGGGGAGCCCCGAAGUGGAGCAUAGUGUGUCCGGAACUGGUGGGUUCUUGGUCUCACUGACUUCAAGAAUGAAGCCGUGGACCCUCACGAGACAGGGUUUCACCAUGUUGGCCAGGCUUGUCUUGAACUCCUGACGUCGUGAUCUGCCUGCUUUGGCCUCCCAAAGUCCUGGGAUUACAGGCAUGAGCCACCGUACCCAGCCACUCUUGAUUAACUUAAUGGAAAUAUUUACAGAGAUUCUUUCUCUUCUGGGUUCUAGCGUCUUAUCUGUAACCUCUGCAGGUGCAGGAAUGAGAGGCAGCAGCCGGGGAAGCCAGGGUCUCCGGAAGUCCUUGUCUCUGGGCGGUGAUCCAGAGAGAGAGAGAGAACACGAUUGUCUCAGCAAUGGGUCUUCUUCUGAGUCUUGAAGGAGCACUUCCAGAGCCUCUCAGUGUUAAACAUCGUGUUGUGAAUGACUCCGUGAGCUCUGACCCAGUGACCUUGGGGAUAAAGGAGGGGAGGUACGGAUAAGCUCUUCGAAUGGAUGUUGCCGGGGUGUCAGUGUUCUUUGAGGGCACAGACUAUGUGUCACUAAAGAAAGAGCCCAGUGCCUUUUCUCAUUGCUCAAGAGAUUGAAGGGGUAGUAAGAAAAGAUGUUAAGUUAUAAACACGUUUCAGUUUUGGUACCAGUUGAACCAAUUUACGUUUUGAAGAGGAAAGAGUCUUGCCUACAAUGUCAGCCCCCGGGUUUUCCUUCUGCUUAUGGAAUCCAGGCAAUGGGCAAAGAGAAAAAGAAAACUAAGGAAUCAGCCAGGUGCAGUGGCUCAUGCUUGUGAUCUUGGCACUUUGGGAAGCUGAGGCAGGUGGACUUCUUGAGUGCAGCAGUUCAAGACCAGCCUGGCCAACAUAGUGAGACCCCGUUUCUACAAAAAAUACAAAAAGUUGCUGAGCAUGGUGACAUGCACCUGUAGUCCCAGUUACUUGGGAGGCUGAGGUGGGAGAACUACUUCAUCCCAGGAGGCUGAGGCUGCAGCGAGCCAUGAUCGUGCCACUAUACUCCUGCCUGGGUGGCAGAGUGAGGCCCUGUCUCAAAAGAAAACAAAAAAGAUAAAAAGAAAACUAGGGAAUCUAGACAGCAUAAGUUUAUAUAUAUAAUAAAGAACUGAGAUAGAA
rnacentral:lncRNA from 10 species